rnacentral:rRNA from 1 species
GAUUAUGGCUCAGGAUGAACGCAGCGACAGGCUUAACACAUGCAAGUCGAGGGGCAGCAUAAAAGUAGCAAUACUUUGGUGGCGACCGGCGCACGGGUGAGUAACGCGUAUGCAACCUACCUAUCAGAGGGGAAUAACCCGGCGAAAGUCGGACUAAUACCGCAUAAAACAGGGGCACCGCAUGGUGAUAUUUGUUAAAGAAAUUCGCUGAUAGAUGGGCAUGCGUUCCAUUAGGUAGUUGGUGAGGUAACGGCUCACCAAGCCGACGAUGGAUAGGGAACUGAGAGGUUGGUCCCCCACACUGGUACUGAGACACGGACCAGACUCCUACGGGAGGCAGCAGUGAGGAAUAUUGGUCAAUGGGCGGGAGCCUGAACCAGCCAAGUCGCGUGAAGGAAGAAGGAUCUAUGGUUCGUAAACUUCUUUUGCAGGGGAAUAAAGUGCAGGACGUGUCCUGUUUUGUAUGUACCCUGAGAAUAAGGAUCGGCUAACUCCGUGCCAGCCGCGGC